AAAGACCGGAGCCCUGUUAUGCAGGUUAGUUUCAUACUUUCUGUUCUGUUAUUUGGAAGCAAUUAAAACAAAUGGAAAUUUAAUGUUGCCUGGAUAAGUUUAACAAUUGCUCUUGAAAUAUUAAGAGAAUGAACCUAGGAUAAAUGGCAAUCUUUCUGUUUGAGGAUAGUGGGCCUUAAUUGCAAAGCUUGGACUUGGAGGUAAUGAAAGGUUUCAUUCCUUGAUAGAUAACAUUGAUGGGAUUGGAUUAUCAUGUGAUGGUUAUAAAGAUAUGUUAGUAUCUUGGCUUCAAGGAUAAUCAUUUCUACUUACUGCUAUGCGGUAAUAAAUUAAUUGAUGUUUCUAUGCUGGCUGGCUUUUGCCAACAAAUGAAAAAUAGAUAAAAAUCUAACUUUUAGGUGUACUUUGAUUCCACAGAAGAGUGAGCACUUCUGUUGCUCAAAGUUGGCACUAGCUUUGAAGCAUUCAUUUGUGGUAGGUGACUUAUAGAUACUUGACUAAGCCAGUCAAGAAAAGGAAAACCUUGAUAAAAAUCUCAUGAGAAGCCAUUGGCUGCAAGUGGAUUUACCAUAGUUGCCUCUUCGCUCCAGUAAGCCUACUGGUCUACUAUCUUCAAGGUUUGAUGGUGAAGCUCCAGCUGGAGUGUCGUUGGAAACUUGUGUAGGCUUUAGUUCAUCAAUGAAGUACAACUUAAGUGCUUAAUAUAUAUCAAGUCAAGUGGCAAAUUUUGCAAUAUACCAUAUGGCAAUCAUGAUGCCUAUGUUUACCAAUUUGAGGCACUUUUAUGCCAGCAGUAGCAUAAUUUGAUCUUGAUUUAGUUGUCUGUAUGAAAUUUAUAGUGGAUUAGUGUUAAAUUAUUAAUUCUCAAUUCUUUUGCUCUUUAUGCUGAAUAUGGUGUCGAUAUUAUGAAAUUUUUGAGGUGUUUUGUUAUUCCUUUUUAGCCAUUAUUGUUUGUACAAUUUGUAUUCACCUCAAUUUAUUUCUUGAUUCAGUAGAAGGGUACUAUUGUGCAAUCAAACCAUAUUGUCCAACUUCCGUUUUGCUACUUCCUUUAGUAUCGUUUUUUAACUUGAUUGUUGAGUUCUAGAAUCAUUGGCCACUAGACUCUUCUUUAUUUCACCAUCAGUUAAGGAUUGUGUUUGUCUUCUGGCACUAGCUUUAUACAAGGGAUGCAUCGA
rnacentral:misc_RNA from 1 species